rnacentral:lncRNA from 1 species
GCAUAGUGGAUAGAAAUUAAUUUCGUAGCUGUAACCUACUAUCGAGGCAAGUUUUCUAACUCAAACUUGAGUUAUCAUUUUCAAAGUAUGUUAGUGAAUAAUUAUUGAUGAUUAUUCACGUCUAUAUUGAUUAUUGAAAUUCACACUUUGUGCAAUUGAAUUCCCGUUCUACUACUAUUGAACUGUGAAUUAAAUUAAAGUUCUUCAUUUAUGAACUGUUUAUG